rnacentral:misc_RNA from 1 species
UACGGAGGGUGCAAGCGUUAUCCGGAUUCACUGGGUUUAAAGGGUGCGCAGGCGGAUUUGUAAGUCAGUGGUGAAAGCCCCGGGCUCAACCUGGGAAUUGCCGUUGAUACUGCAAAUCUUGAGUGCAGUUGAGGUGGGCGGAAUACAUCAUGUAGCGGUGAAAUGCUUAGAUAUGAUGUAGAACAUCGAUUGCGAAGGCAGCUCGCUAAACUGCAACUGACGCUCAGGCACGAAAGCGUGGGUAUCAAACAGG